rnacentral:rRNA from 1 species
UGGGGAAUUUUGGACAAUGGGCGAAAGCCUGAUCCAGCAAUGCCGCGUGUGUGAAGAAGGCCUUCGGGUUGUAAAGCACUUUUGUCCGGAAAGAAAUCCUUGGCUCUAAUACAGCCGGGGGAUGACGGUACCGGAAGAAUAAGCACCGGCUAACCACGUGCCAGCAGCCGCGGUAAUACGUAGGGUGCAAGCGUUAAUCGGAAUUACUGGGCGUAAAGCGUGCGCAGGCGGUUUGCUAAGACCGAUGUGAAAUCCCCGGGCUCAACCUGGGAACUGCAUUGGUGACUGGCAGGCUAGAGUAUGGCAGAGGGGGGUAGAAUUCCACGUGUAGCAGUGAAAUGCGUAGAGAUGUGGAGGAAUACCGAUGGCGAAGGCAGCCCCCUGGGCCAAUACUGACGCUCAUGCACGAAAGCGUGGGGAGCAAACAGGAUUAGAUACCCUGGUAGUCCACGCCCUAAACGAUGUCAACUAGUUGUUGGGGAUUCAUUUCCUUAGUAACGUAGCUAACGCGUGAAGUUGACCGCCUGGGGAGUACGGUCGCAAGAUU